CUACGGGCCGCAGCAGUGGGGAAUAUUGCACAAUGGGCGCAAGCCUGAUGCAGCCAUGCCGCGUGUAUGAAGAAGGCCUUCGGGUUGUAAAGUACUUUCAGCGGGGAGGAAGGGAGUAAAGUUAAUACCUUUGCUCAUUGACGUUACCCGCAGAAGAAGCACCGGCUAACUCCGUGCCAGCAGCCGCGGUAAUACGGAGGGUGCAAGCGUUAAUCGGAAUUACUGGGCGUAAAGCGCACGCAGGCGGUUUGUUAAGUCAGAUGUGAAAUCCCCGGGCUCAACCUGGGAACUGCAUCUGAUACUGGCAAGCUUGAGUCUCGUAGAGGGGGGUAGAAUUCUAGGUGUAGCGGUGAAAUGCGUAGAGAUCUGGAGGAAUACCGGUGGCGAAGGCGGCCCCCUGGACGAAGACUGACGCUCAGGUGCGAAAGCGUGGGGAGCAAACAGGAUUAGAUACCCUAGUAGUC
rnacentral:rRNA from 1 species